rnacentral:rRNA from 1 species
UGGGGAAUAUUGAACAAUGGGGGAAACCCUGAUGCAGCGACGCCGCGUGAACGAAGAAGGUAUUCGUAUCGUAAAGUUCUGUCCUAUGGGAAGAUAAUGACAGUACCAUAGAAGAAAGCUCCGGCUAAAUACGUGCCAGCAGCCGCGGUAAUACGUAUGGAGCGAGCGUUGUCCGGAAUUAUUGGGCGUAAAGGGUACGCAGGCGGUUUAAUAAGUCGAAUGUUAAAGAUCGGGGCUCAACCCCGCAAAGCAUUGGAAACUGAUAGACUUGAGUAGUGGAGAGGAAAGUGGAAGUCCUAGUGUAGUGGUGAAAUACGUAGAUAUUAGGAGGAAUACCAGUAGCGAAGGCGACGUUCUGGACACAAACUGACGCUGAGGUACGAAAGCGUAGGGAGCAAACAGG